AAAUUUACAGUAAUAUGGAAAACAUCAUCCUCACCUGCUGGUCCAUGAGCAGGUCCACUACCUGGAGGCCUAGGCUGGUAGGGAUCCAGCUGUUCUGAG